rnacentral:rRNA from 1 species
AAAGUUUGAUCCUGGCUCAAUAWUCAWSACUGGCGGSRUGCCUCMGACAUGCUUKUCRAACSAUUAAAGCUCUCUUCGGAGAGUGUAUAKACUGGCRCACGGGUGAGUAACCCGUAWKUAAUCUACCCUCUAGUGGGGAAUAACGUCCGGAAACAGACGCUWAUACCCCWUAWUGCAGCGGCMCCGCCAGGWGACWRUUGKUAUGSAUUUAUCGCUUGAGGAKGASCUUGCRSCRAAUUAKCUAKGUGGYARGGUAAUGGCUUACCCASGCUAGAAUCUGUAACCGGUCUAAGAGGACGGUCGGGGGACUGACACUGAAUAACGGGUCARACUCCUACGGGAGGCAGCAKUCGGGAAUUUUGGGUUGUGGGCGACAGCCUGAUACAGCAACGCCGCGUGAAGGAUGAAGUAUUUCGGUAUGUAAACCUCGAAAGAAUAGGAAGAAUAAAUGACGGUACUAUUUAUAAGGUCCGGCUAACUACGUGCCAGCAGCCGCGGUAAUACGUAGGGACCAAGCGUUGUUCGGAUUUACUGGGCGUAAAGGGCGCGUAGGCGGCUUAACAAGUCACUUGUGAAAUCUCUGAGCUUAACUCAGAACGGCCAAGUGAAACUGUUAUGCUAGAGUGCAGAAGGGGCAAUCGGAAUUCUUGGUGUAGCGGUGAAAUGCGUAGAUAUCAAGAGGAACACCUGAGGUGAAGACGGGUUGCUGGGCUGACACUGACGCUGAGGCGCGAAAGCCAGGGGAGCAAACGGGAUUAGAUACCCCGGUAGUCCUGGCCCUAAACGAUGAAUACUUGGUGUCUGGAGUUAUUAGUGCUCCGGGUGCCGUCGCUAACGUUUUUAGUAUUCYGYCUGGGGAGUAYGCUCGCWAGAGUGAAACUCAAAGGAAUUGACGGGGACCCGCACAAGCGGUGSAGCAWGKGGCUUUAAUUCGACGCAACGCGAAGAACCUUACUUAGGCUAGAAUKKUGAGGGAAUGUUGGGUUAACMCCAUCAGUCUGGGAAACAGACCUAAACAGGUGCUGCWUGCUGUCGUCAGCYCGUGWCGKGAAUGCUUGAUUAGUCCCGCASGAGSSCAACUCGUWUUGUACUGCUWACAGUAUUGUGCGAACUUUACGUAAGACKCCCGUUUUGUAUAAAACGAAGAAAGGGKCGGAAAAUAAGUUUCUA